UACGAAGGGGGCUAGCGUUGCUCGGAAUUACUGGGCGUAAAGCGUGCGUAGGUGGUUUGUUAAGUCUGUUGUGAAAGCCCCGGGCUCAACCUGGGAAUGGCAAUGGAUACUGGCAGGCUAGAGUGCGGUAGAGGGUAGUGGAAUUCCCGGUGUAGUGGUGAAAUGCGUAGAUAUCGGGAGGAACACCAGUGGCGAAGGCGACUUCCUGGCCUGUUCUUGACGCUGAGGCGCGAAAGCUAGGGUAGCAGACGGG
rnacentral:rRNA from 1 species